rnacentral:rRNA from 1 species
AGCAAUUAUACGGCGAAACUGCGAAUGGCUCAUUAAAUCAGUUAUCGUUUACUUGAUAGCCCCUUACUACUUGGAUAACCGUGGUAAUUCUAGAGCUAAUACAUGCUGAAAAGCCCGACUUCGGAAGGGUUGUAUUUAUUAGAUUAAAAACCAAUGCCCCUCGGGGCUCACUGGUGAUUCAUGAUAACUUCUCGAAUCGCACGGCCUUGCGCCGGCGAUGGCUCAUUCAAAUUUCUGCCCUAUCAACUUUCGACGGCUGGAUCUGGGCCCGCCAUGGUGACAACGGGUAACGGAGGGUUAGGGCUCGGCCCCGGAGAAGGAGCCUGAGAAACGGCUACUACAUCCAAGGAAGGCAGCAGGCGCGCAAAUUACCCAAUCCCGACUCGGGGAGGUAGUGACAAUAAAUACUGAUACAGGGCUCUUUUGGGUCUUGUAAUUGGAAUGAGUACAAUUUAAUUCCCUUAACGAGGAACAAUUGGAGGGCAAGUCUGGUGCCAGCAGCCGCGGUAAUUCCAGCUCCAAUAGCGUAUAUUAAAGUUGUUGCAGUUAAAAAGCUCGUAGUUGAACCUUGGGCCUGGCUGGCCGGUCCGCCUCACCGCGUGCACUGGUCCGGCCGGGUCUUUCCCUCUGGGGAGCCGCAUGCCCUUCACUGGGCGUGUCGGGGAACCAGGACAUUUACUUUGAAAAAAUUAGAGUGUUCAAAGCAGGCUUAUGCUCGAAUACAUUAGCAUGGAAUAAUAGAAUAGGACGCGCGGUUCUAUUUUGUUGGUUUCUAGGACCGCCGUAAUGAUUAAUAGGGACAGUCGGGGGCAUCAGUAUUCAAUAGUCAGAGGUGAAAUUCUUGGAUCUAUUGAAGACUAACUACUGCGAAAGCAUUUGCCAAGGAUGUUUUCAUUAAUCAGGAACGAAAGUUAGGGGAUCGAAGACGAUCAGAUACCGUCGUAGUCUUAACCAUAAACUAUGCCGACUAGGGAUCGGACGAUGUUAUUUUUUGACUCGUUCGGCACCUUACACGAAAGUACAAGUUUCUGGGUUCUGGGGGGAGUAUGGUCGCAAGGCUGAAACUUAAAGAAAUUGACGGAAGGGCACCACCAGGGGUGGAGCCUGCGGCUUAAUUUGACUCAACACGGGGAAACUCACCAGGUCCAGACACGAUGAGGAUUGACAGAUUGAGAGCUCUUUCUUGAUUUCGUGGGUGGUGGUGCAUGGCCGUUCUUAGUUGGUGGAGUGAUUUGUCUGCCUAAUCGCGAUAACGAACGAGACCUUAACCUGCUAAAUAGCCCGCGCUGCUCUGGCAGCGUGCUGGCUUCUUAGAGGGACUAUCGGCUCAAGCCGA